CCCUGUGGCUGCACCAGGAUGGAGAAGAGCCGGACUGCAGUCCCGCUGCUGUGCAGACAGGCAAGAAGGUGACAGAAACCAACUAUUUUCAACCUGAAGGAGACGGCAGUGAUGAUCUCAUCGAAGAUGACUGGUUUACCAAGGAGGAAACUGAAGCAGGAAAGGGUAGAGGGCAGCACUGACUCAAUCUGACCAUGAGAAAUACAUCAGACUAACCUAGAUUGGAGGAUGUUCUUCAAGGUACCUGGCCAGUGUCCUCCAGGCUGUAAGGACAUGAAAAGUGAGGGAAGGCUGAGAAACUAUGACAGAUCAGAGGAGACUGGGGAGACAGGAACACUAAAUGCAACAUGGCACCCUGGAUUGGAUCCUGGAACAGAAAGAGGUUAUUGGUGAGAAAACGGGUGACACUGAAAGCAGGGGAGGGGGGAAGGGAGGAUGGGUCACAAAUCUGAGCGUGGGAGGUCUGCGAUGUUUAUUCCUUUCCUUGGUUAGUUCCGUGUAACUGUCACCAAUAACUCUCUCUCACUUCUUCCUGGAAGGGAGUAAAGGUGCGAAGUCAGACUUCACAGGGAAGUUAGGGAUUCCCGCACCCAGUCCCUAAUCCAGCCCUGAUUUCAGGUGGGACACAUACCUGGAGACCCCGAGAGCCUAGUGCCAGGCAAAGACUUGCAGGGGCACUUCCAAACCCUCUAACACUGUCUA